rnacentral:rRNA from 1 species
UAAAGGAAGCGAUUCCGGCUACGGAUGGUCAUGCGUCGCAUUAGCUUGUUGGCGGGGUAACGGCCCACCAAGGCGACGAUGCGUAGGGGUUCUGAGAGGAAGGUCCCCCACACUGGUACUGAGACACGGACCAGACUCCUACGGGAGGCAGCAGUGAGGAAUAUUGGUCAAUGGCCGCAGGGCUGAACCAGCCAAGUCGCGUGAGGGAUGACGGUCCUAUGGAUUGUAAACCUCUUUUGUCAGGGAGCAAAGGGCGCCACGUGUGGCGUUUUGCGAGUACCUGAAGAAAAAGCAUCGGCUAACUCCGUGCCAGCAGCCGCGGUAAUACGGAGGAUGCGAGCGUUAUCCGGAUUUAUUGGGUUUAAAGGGUGCGCAGGCGGAAUGUCAAGUCAGCGGUAAAAUUUCGGGGCUCAACCCCGUCGUGCCGUUGAAACUGGCGUUCUUGAGUGAGCGAGAAGUAUGCGGAAUGCGUGGUGUAGCGGUGAAAUGCAUAGAUAUCACGCAGAACUCCGAUUGCGAAGGCAGCAUAUCGGCGCUCAACUGACGCUCAUGCACGAAAGCGUGGGUAUCGAACAGGAUUAGAUACCCUGGUAGUCCACGCAGUAAACGAUGAAUACUAACUGUCCGGGCAGAAUGAUGCCUGG